GAUGAACGCUGGCGGCGUGCCUAAUACAUGCAAGUCGAGCGAACGGACGAGAAGCUUGCUUCUCUGAUGUUAGCGGCGGACGGGUGAGUAACACGUGGAUAACCUACCUAUAAGACUGGGAUAACUUCGGGAAACCGUAGCUAAUACCGGAUAAUAUUUUGAACCGCAUGGUUCAAAAGUGAAAGACGGUCUUGCUGUCACUUAUAGAUGGAUCCGCGCUGCAUUAGCUAGUUGGUAAGGUAACGGCUUACCAAGGCAACGAUGCAUAGCCGACCUGAAGGGGAGAUCGGCCACACGGGAACUGAGAAACGGUCCAGACUCCUAGGGGAGGACGCAGUAGGGACUCUUCCGCAAUGGGGGAAAGCCUGACGGAGCAACGCCGCGUGAGUGAUGAAGGUCUUCGGAUCGUAAAACUCUGUUAUUAGGGAAGAACAUAUGUGUAAGUAACUGUGCACAUCUUGACGGUACCUAAUCAGAAAGCCACGGCUAACUACGUG
rnacentral:rRNA from 1 species